rnacentral:rRNA from 1 species
GCGAACGCUGGCGGCGUGCCUAACACAUGCAAGUCGAACGUGAACGGGGCAACCCUAGUAAAGUGGCGUACGGGUGAGUAACGCGUAGGUAAUCUACCCCAGAGUCUGGAAUAACCGGCCGAAAGGCUGGCUAAUACUGGAUAGAGCGACGGAAGCCGUAAUCGGUUUUUUCGGGAAAGGGAGGCAGUAAUGCCCCUCGCUUUGGGAUGAGCCUGCGUCUCAUUAGCUAGUUGGUGAGGUAAUGGCUCACCAAGGCUUUGAUGGGUAGCUGGUCUGAGAGGAUGAUCAGCCACACUGGAACUGAAACACGGUCCAGACUCCUACGGGAGGCAGCAGUGGGGAAUCUUGCGCAAUGGACGAAAGUCUGACGCAGCCACGCCGCGUGAGUGAAGAAGGCCUUCGGGUUGUAAAGCUCUGUCGGAGGGGAC